UGGGGAAUAUUGCACAAUGGGCGCAAGCCUGAUGCAGCCAUGCCGCGUGUAUGAAGAAGGCCUUCGGGCUGUAAAGCACUUUCAGCGGGGAGGAAGGCGGUGAGGUUAAUAACCUCAUCGAUUGACGUUACCCGCAGAAGAAGCACCGGCUAACUCCGUGCCAGCAGCCGCGGUAAUACGGAGGGUGCAAGCGUUAAUCGGAAUUACUGGGCGUAAAGCGAGCGCAGGCGGUUUCUUAAGUCUGAUGUGAAAGCCCCCGGCUCAACCGGGGAGGGUCAUUGGAAACUGGGAGACUGGAGAGCAGAAGAGGAGAGAGGAAAUCCAUGUGUAGCGGUGAAAUGCGUAGAUAUAUGGAGGAACACCAGUGGCGAAGGCGGCUCUCUGGUCUGUAACUGACGCUGAGGCUGGAAAGCGUGGAGAGCAAACAGG
rnacentral:rRNA from 1 species